rnacentral:rRNA from 1 species
UCCUUAGAUCGUACUUUUCUACUUGGAUAACUGUGGCAAUUCUAGAGCUAAUACAUGCAGCAGAGCUCCGACCUUCGGGGACGAGCGCUUUUAUUAGACCAAGACCAAUCGGACYYCGGUCCGUAYGMCACGGCGACUCUGGAUAACUUUGGGCUGAUCGCACGAUCUCGCAUCGGCGAUAUUUCUUUCAAGUGUCUGACUUAUCAACUUUCGAUGGUAGUCUAUGCGCCUACCAUGGUCGUAACGGGUAACGGGGAAUCAGGGUUCGAUUCCGGAGAGGGAGCCUGAGAAACGGCUACCACAUCCAAGGAAGGCAGCAGGCGCGCAAAUUACCCACUCCCGGCACGGGGAGGUAGUGACGAAAAAUAACAAUACGGGACUCUCUUGAGGCCCCGUAAUUGGAAUGAGUACACUCUAAAUCCUUUAACGAGGAUCUAUUGGAGGGCAAGUCUGGUGCCAGCAGCCGCGGUAAUUCCAGCUCCAAUAGCGUAUAUUAAAGUUGUUGCGGUUAAAAAGCUCGUAGUUGGAUCUCAGUUACAGACGGGCGGUCCACUUUACGGUGGYUACUGCYCGGCCUGAACGUCCUGYCGGUUUUUCUCUAGGUGCUCUUCAYUGAGUGUCUAGAGUGGCCKRCACGUUUACUUUGAAAAAAUUAGAGUGCUCAAAGCAGGCGUGACGCCUGAAUAAUGGUGCAUGGAAUAAUGGAAUAGGACCUCGGUUCUAUUGUGUUGGUUUUCGGAACACGAGGUAAUGAUUAAGAGGGACAGACGGGGGCAUUCGUAUU